rnacentral:snRNA from 1 species
AUCGCUUCUCAGCCUUUUGGCUAAGAUCAGUCGUAGCAUCUGUUCUUAUCAGUUUAACAUGUGACACGUCCUCUAUCGGAGGACAACAUAUUAAAUGGAGUUUUGGAGCCGGAACUUGCUCUGUCCACUCCGCGCAUCGACCUGGGAUUGCAGAACCUCGGGCGGACGGGGGGGGGGGG